CCUGUGCGAGCAGUUCCCUUUCCUGUAUCCUUCAAUAUUCAAUCAAUCUCUCCUACGGACGGCUCGCCGACGAGGCCAUUGGAGGCAGCCUAAAUAGCAGUUGCCGCUGGUCCUCUCGGUGAGUUCACCGAGCGGGCACCGCCGUCGUUUACUCCACGAGAAAGCCGAGGAGAGGAAGGAUCCGGGAGCGUCCUCGGCGACACCAAGACAUCAGCGCUGGCUCGGCCAUCCACCACCCGAGCUCUCCUUGCGGAGCUCCUUCGUGUGUGGCGGCCAUGGAGGACACCCCUACACGCGUUGGAGCCGCCCACGGCCGUGGCGACCAUCUUCGACGCGUGCGCGGAGAAGGCCUCGAGCCGCGUGGCGUGGCGGCCGGAUAUGUUGGGAGCGGCGCGGAGGCGGUCGACAUCGGCGGCCUCGACUACAUAGUUCCGGCGCACAAGGGCGGUGGCGACGAGCGCGUUGGGGAGAAUGUGCGGGUCGUGCAGUACGUACUUGCGUCCAGCGAUGGGGCGUACCGGGGGCAUUCGAGGGCGGAAGAGGGAGCGCCGGUCGUGGUCGUGGUAGGGAUCCCACGAGAGUUCCCUGUCGCUGGCGAGCCUGGGAGGGCUGCGAGGAGGCAUCCAAGAUCGGCGCUGACAGGGCUGAACAAGAGAUGCGUUGCCUCUGCUCGACAAAUUCACUGAGCAGAGUACCAUGGCCGGCAAGAUCAUGUCAGCGAUGAACCGCCAGAUGGAGAAGGGGAAUUGGAAGCUCAAGGCGGCACUGGACACGAUGACAAGAGAGAUCGAGCCAUUGCACAAUUGGAAUAUCUGGGGAAGUUAGCUAAGCUCAUCUCAUUUCUUACUUGUACUCUUGGUGUGCGUUUUCUGAUGAACUUUUACCUAAACUUUGCAAAUCAACACUGGCAGUUGUUGAUAGUAAAAACUUGUCGAAUUCUAGGCAUGCCCAAAGAUGACACCUGUUUGUAUCAUGUUCAGGUUUCUACAGCGAAAGCUCACAGCUGCAUGUCAAAUUAUAUAAUGUUCAGAGAGUCAGCAGCAGUGAGCAACUUGACCUGCUGACAUGAAGCUUACGGGCCAACAGUGUAAUUCAAAUAUUUAAGUUACUCCUAAGAUCGAAUCAGGUUUAGUGUCUGUCCCUUCAUUCAAACUAGGUGCAGUUUUUUCCAGAUUGUGAUCUUCAUACUGAUAGGUGUUGUGCCCGAUUAAAGGCACAAACGCCACAUCUGCUGGGAUGUAUGAUUUGCAGUUGCUCUAAAUGUAACACUUCUCAUCUGCUGGGAUGUAUGAGCUGCAGUUCCUCUUAGUAUAACAAUGCAACUUGCUCUUUUUAGCAUUGUUUUUUUUUUCUCUAGAAGGAUUGGUAGUGCAUGUCUGAAUUAACUAUUUGCAAGUACCAGUGUUUUUUUGUAGCGAAAGGACAUAAGUGUUUUUUUAUUCUUAGUGAUGACUGGUAUUUGUCAGGGAUUCCCUUCUUAAAGCUCAGCCAACUAUUAACAUAAGGGUAUUAGGUUUUGCUUCCUCUUAAUACCUAUCUGUGAGGAAUCCUGCAAUGGAAACAAUGUAGUGAAUGGAGCUGAACUUCUGAGUGAAUUUUCUCAAAUAUUUGAUAAUUUAGUACUAUAUUUGAAAGAAACUCUUAUCAAUUUUAAAAAUAUGAUUUGAUAUUUUCAUUGGCCAUUACUCGAGAUUAAUUUUUUUCAUAAUUGUUGUACAUCGUUUUGCCCUGUAGAAAUAAUUAUUGCAGAAUGUUUCAUUCAUCUCCUAGGCUACUGUUGAUUCAUGACAUAUUUUAUUUGAGAUUUUACUUCUCCGAAAAUGGCAAUCUUAACUUCAAGUGGUUAUCAUACAUAAUAGCCGCCUGGAGCAUUGAGAAGGAGCUAUAGUGGCAGCAGCCCUGGUUUGGAAAUUCUAUAAAUUUUGUUCUCCUGACCAUCCAAAUCCAUGCGGGGUCAAGUAACACAAGAAAAAUAUAGAUUGCAUUGCAGGAUGUGAGUUAUGUGAAGAUAAUUCUCUGCAACAAAAAUAUGCGGGGUGAAGUAACACAAGAAAAAUAUAGAUUUCAUUUGAUAUGCGCUCCUUCUAAUCACAUUGUUUUUUCUAAUUGACAUCUGAUCGUGUAUCUAUGGUAUGAUGAAGGUAUUAUGUUGGCAUUCCAAAGACGCAAAGGAAGGGAAGAACAAGAAAUAUGGGAAAAUAUGUCGAAGGACAAGUUCAAGUAGAGAGAAUAUUUCUCGAAGUUUGGAAUUCUGUUACCUGACUUUGUUUAGUUACUUAUGUCACCGAUGCGUCUGCCGCCACCGAGCCGAGAGACCAUGACCUUGCUGCCACCGCACUUUCCUGCCAUUCAUGCCAUGCUGCGUCUGAGCCAGGUCCCCCGAAACCUGGUUAUUUGUUUGUACUUUAUUGGGUACAUAUAUCGUAAAGAUCUUUGCAUUCAUAAUUUCACAUUUUUUUUUCUCUUCAUCUUAAUAUAUAACCAUUUCUACAAUGCACGGACUGCAAUUUAAAAAUAUUUAGGUAGUUCAGGUUCAUACAUGUUUGCACUAACUGCCGGCCUACUGGAUAGUGGUACGAAAUUAUAGAUAUGAAAAUAAUAAGUUUGUUAAUCAAUAGAUUAGUAUUAGAAGUUGAUACGUCCAAAACGUAUCUACUUUCCCGAACACUUUUGCUAUUGUUUUGCCUCUAAUUUGUGUAUUUUGGAUACAACUAACACGGACUAACGCUGUUUUCAGCAGAACUGCUCUGGUGUCUCGUUUUUGUGCAGAAAUCCAACUUUCGGGAAAAUCCUCGGAAUUUAUGCAGAAGGCCCUAUUUUCCCAGAAUAAUGACGGAGCCAGAAGGACAAUUGAAGUGGAGGCCCGAGGGCCCCACACCAUAGGGCGGCGCGGCCCAGGGGGGGGCCCGCGCGGCCCUGUGGUGUGGCCCCCUCGGCCGGCCUCCGACGCCCUCCUUCGGACUAUUUAUCGGCCUCGACCUAAAAACGCCAGGGGAGAAGUCGAAGUCGCCAGAAACCCUCCAGAACGCCGCCACAUCGCGAAACUCCGUCGCGGGAGCCAGAAGUCUCCGUUCUGGCACUCCGCCGGGACGGGGAAUUGGAGGAGAUCAUCGCCGCCAUCACCGCCAACGCCUCUACAUCAACCAGCCAUGUUUCCCCCAUCCAUGUGUGAGUAAUUCCCCCGCUGUAGGCCGAAGGGGAUGGUAGGGAUUGGAUGAGAUUGGUCAUGUAAUAGCAUAAGAUUGUUAGGGCAUAGUGCCUAGUGUCCAUAGUUGGUACUUUGAUGAUAUUGUUGCAACUUGUUAUGCUUAAUGCUUGUCACUAGGGCCCGAGUGCCAUGAUCUCAGAUCUGAACAUGUUAUUGUUUCAUCAAGAUAAUCAUUGUUUAUGGUCUUA